UACGUAGGGUCCGAGCGUUGUCCGGAAUUACUGGGCGUAAAGAGCUCGUAGGUGGUUUGUCGCGUUGUUCGUGAAAACUCACAGCUCAACUGUGGGCGUGCGGGCGAUACGGGCAGACUUGAGUACUGCAGGGGAGACUGGAAUUCCUGGUGUAGCGGUGGAAUGCGCAGAUAUCAGGAGGAACACCGGUGGCGAAGGCGGGUCUUUGGGCCUGUACUGACGCUGAGGAACGAAAGCGUGGGGAGCAAACAGG
rnacentral:rRNA from 1 species